UACGAAGGGGGCUAGCGUUGCUCGGAAUCACUGGGCGUAAAGGGUGCGUAGGCGGGUCUUUAAGUCAGGGGUGAAAUCCUGGAGCUCAACUCCAGAACUGCCUUUGAUACUGAAGAUCUUGAGUUCGGGAGAGGUGAGUGGAACUGCGAGUGUAGAGGUGAAAUUCGUAGAUAUUCGCAAGAACACCAGUGGCGAAGGCGGCUCACUGGCCCGAUACUGGCGCUGAGGCACGAAAGCGUGGGGAGCAAACAGGG
rnacentral:rRNA from 1 species